CGCCCCCAAGAAGAGCUCACCAGCAUUGGCAAUGUCUUUGAGGAGGAGAAGAAGGAUGAAGGGCCUCAGGUUCCAACUAUUGACUUGAAGGAUAUUGAGUCUGAGGACGAGGUGGUCCGGGAGAGAUGCCGGGAGGAGUUGAAGAAAGCUGCCAUGGAGUGGGGUGUGAUGCACCUUGUUAACCAUGGCAUCUCUGAUGACCUUAUCAACCGUGUUAAGGUUGCUGGAGAGACCUUUUUCAAUCUCCCCAUGGAGGAAAAGGAGAAGUAUGCUAAUGACCAGGCCUCCGGCAAGAUCGCUGGCUAUGGCAGCAAGCUUGCCAACAAUGCUAGUGGACAGCUUGAGUGGGAG
rnacentral:lncRNA from 1 species